rnacentral:rRNA from 1 species
CCUACGGGAGGCAGCAGUGGGGAAUUUUGGACAAUGGGCGAAAGCCUGAUCCAGCAAUGCCGCGUGCAGGAAGAAGGCCUUCGGGUUGUAAACUGCUUUUGUACGGAACGAAACGGUCUGCUUUAAUACAGUGGGCUAAUGACGGUACCGUAAGAAUAAGCACCGGCUAACUACGUGCCAGCAGCCGCGGUAAUACGUAGGGUGCGAGCGUUAAUCGGAAUUACUGGGCGUAAAGCGUGCGCAGGCGGUUAUAUAAGACAGUUGUGAAAUCCCCGGGCUCAACCUGGGAAUUGCAUCUGUGACUGUAUAGCUAGAGUACGGUAGAGGGGGAUGGAAUUCCGCGUGUAGCAGUGAAAUGCGUAGAUAUGCGGAGGAACACCGAUGGCGAAGGCAAUCCCCUGGACCUGUACUGACGCUCAUGCACGAAAGCGUGGGGAGCAAACAGGAUUAGAUACCCCGGUAGUCCACGCCCUAAACGAUGUCAACUGGUUGUUGGGUGCAUUAGUACUCAGUAACGAAGCUAACGCGUGAAGUUGACCGCCUGGGGAGUACGGCCGCAAGGUUGAAACGUCAAAUGAAUUGACGG